rnacentral:lncRNA from 1 species
UUCAGACGUUUGAUUUUUACGUCCCUUCCUACUAUUUAUUGUCCUUGAUGUGUCUAAAUACACAUCUUUACCUCCAUUCCGCGGCUGUGGCCGACUUACAGUCUAUACCCGCAUUUGCCUGUGCCCCGCCCCUUAGCACAGUGACCAAGGAAACCACAGAAACCUGGCCAGGGUACAGUCGGCAAGGGAGCAAGUCUUGGAAAUCGCAGAAAAAUUGCGACUGCCAGGGCUUGAACCCACGCCUGAGCGACUGUUGUACGGGCAGUUUAAGACUUAAACCGCUCGGCCACGCAAAAGCACACGACUGAACUUCAG